rnacentral:rRNA from 1 species
UACGUAGGGUGCGAGCGUUGUCCGGAAUUAUUGGGCGUAAAGGGCUCGUAGGCGGUUUGUCGCGUUCGGGAGUGAAAACCUUGGGCUUAACUCAGGGCUUGCUUUCGAUACGGGCAGACUAGAGGUAUGCAGGGGAGAACGGAAUUCCUGGUGUAGCGGUGAAAUGCGCAGAUAUCAGGAGGAACACCGGUGGCGAAGGCGGUUCUCUGGGCAUGAUCUGACGCUGAGGAGCGAAAGUGUGGGGAGCGAACAGG